UUGUCCUACGGGAGGCAGCAGUGAGGAAUAUUGGUCAAUGGCCAAGAGGCUGAACCAGCCAAGUCGCGUGAGGGAUGACGGUCCUAUGGAUUGUAAACCUCUUUUGUCAGGGAGCAAAGGGCGCCACGUGUGGCGCUUUGCGAGUACCUGAAGAAAAAGCAUCGGCUAACUCCGUGCCAGCAGCCGCGGUAAUACGGAGGAUGCGAGCGUUAUCCGGAUUCAUUGGGUUUAAAGGGUGCGCAGGCGGAAUGUCAAGUCAGCGGUAAAAUUUCGGGGCUCAACCCCGUCGUGCCGUUGAAACUGGG
rnacentral:rRNA from 1 species